AUGUUUUUUUUCUGUUGUUCAUGUCAUGAAUAUUGUUCAGAAGUCACUAUGAUGACUGCUCGAGGGUCACCAAGGUUGAGCCUCCUCAAAAGAGUUGUCGAAAGGGAUAGAGCAUCACCUCCUACAAGCAGUGCGACAAAGAGGAGGAGAGGGUCUCCCAAAGGUGCCGUGACUUUAUUUCUCUGGUCGGGACUUUAUUUGCUUAAAACCAAAAUAGUUAAUAUAGAAAAAGGUACAUUAACAUACAAUGUGGAAAUCCAGAAGAUAGAGCAUAGUGGAAUUCAAGACUUGAGAAAGAUCUUGUGGACUUGCUUCAUGAGCAUGCUACACCUGAACAUAAGGGUCAAAAUGGAUGGAGCUCAGAAGCAUGGAAUAUGA
rnacentral:rRNA from 1 species